GCAAAAGGGAGAAAAAGGAUUUAUGCAGCAGACUCCAAAUAGUUUUGGCUUUGGUUUUUUUUAAUUAUUGUUACUAAAUAUUAAGGCUUAAUUGAGUCAAGUUGCUCAAUACAUGGAUUUAGAAAUGUUUUUAAACUGAAAAAGAUAGAAAUACAUGUUUAAAUGUUGGUAAGGAUCCUAAUCCUCUUGAUGAGUUGCACACCAUUGGACGCAUAAAAUAUCCAAAGUGGUAGAUUAUAACUUGAUUUACCGCUAAGUUAUGACUAGCAAUCUAGAAUCAUUGGUUAAAAAGAAAAAAAAUUACAAACCAUGAAGAAAUAUUAGACAUCAACAAUUAACUGAUCACUUGCAAUAAAUCUCAGAGUCCUUAUAAAUGCAACCAUGACUUACAAUCCUUUACAGUGUAUAUAUCCUC
rnacentral:lncRNA from 1 species